AGUGAACGCUGGCGGUAGGCCUAACACAUGCAAGUCGAACGGCAGCACAGGAGAGCUUGCUCUCUGGGUGGCGAGUGGCGGACGGGUGAGGAAUACAUCGGAAUCUACUUUUUCGUGGGGGAUAACGUAGGGAAACUUACGCUAAUACCGCAUACGACCUACGGGUGAAAGCAGGGGACCUUCGAGCCUUGCGCGAUUGAAUGAGCCGAUGUCGGAUUAGCUAGUUGGCGGGGUAAAGGCCCACCAAGGCGACGAUCCGUAGCUGGUCGGAGAGGAUGAUCAGCCACACUGGAACUGAGACACGGUCCAGACUCCUACGGGAGGCAGCAGUGGGGAAUAUUGGACAAUGGGCGCAAGCCUGAUCCAGCCAUACCGCGUGGGUGAAGAAGGCCUUCGGGUUGUAAAGCCCUUUUGUUGGGAAAGAAAUCCAGCUGGCUAAUACCCGGUUGGGAUGACGGUACCCAAAGAAUAAGCACCGGCUAACUUCGUGCCAGCCGCCGCAGUAA
rnacentral:rRNA from 1 species